UGGAACUAGAUGUGGGACCAUUCCACGGUCUCCGUGUCGUAGCUAACGCAUUAAGUUCCCCGCCUGGGGAGUACGGCCGCAAGGCUAAAACUCAAAGGAAUUGACGGGGGCCCGCACAAGCGGCGGAGCAUGCGGAUUAAUUCGAUGCAACGCGAAGAACCUUACCAAGGCUUGACAUAUACGAGAACGCACUGGAGACAGUGAACUCUUUGGACACUCGUAUACAGGUGGUGCAUGGUUGUCGUCAGCUCGUGUCGUGAGAUGUUGGGUUAAGUCCCGCAACGAGCGCAACCCUCGUCCUAUGUUGCCAGCACGUAAUGGUGGGAACUCAUGGGAUACUGCCGGGGUCAACUCGGAGGAAGGUGGGGAUGAGGUCAAAUCAUCAUGCCCCUUAUGUCUUGGGCUUCACGCAUGCUACAAUGGCCGGUACAAUGGGCUGCGAUACCGCAAGGUGGAGCGAAUCCCAAAAAGCCGGUCUCAGUUCGGAUUGAGGUCUGCAACUCGACCUCAUGAAGUCGGAGUCGCUAGUAAUCGCAGAUCAGCAACUUCUUCGGUGAAUACGUUCACCGGUCCUUGUACACGCCGCCACGUACAUUGUCAUGCAUAGUUCGGUAUACAGUUGUUACUCGGUGGCCCAUCAUUCGUGAUCAAGGUGGCCGUAGUGGUUGUUCAUGGUUCCU
rnacentral:rRNA from 1 species